CAGCCGCCGCGGGAAUACGUAGGGUGCAAGCGUUGUCCGGAAUUAUUGGGCGUAAAGAGCUCGUAGGCGGUCUGUCGCGUCGAAUGUGAAAAUCCGAGGCUCAACCUCGGACCUGCAUUCGAUACGGGCAGACUAGAGUUCGGUAGGGGAGUCUGGAAUUCCUGGUGUAGCGGUGAAAUGCGCAGAUAUCAGGAGGAAUACCGGUGGCGAAGGCGGGACUCUGGGCCGAUACUGACGCUGAGGAGCGAAAGCGUGGGGAGCAAACAGGAUUAGAUACCCCUGUAGUCCCUGUCUCUUAUAA
rnacentral:rRNA from 1 species